CGGGAUGUAGUAUAGUGGCAGUACGCAAGCAUGGGGUGUUUGUAGUCCGAGUUCGAUUCUCGGCAUCCCGACAA
rnacentral:tRNA from 1 species